rnacentral:rRNA from 1 species
AACGAACGCUGGCGGCGCGUCUUAAGCAUGCAAGUCGAACGGCAAGAGAGGAGCUUGCUUCUCUCCUAGAGUGGCGGACUGGUGAGGAACACGUGGGUAAUCUACCCUUAAGAUGGGGAUAGCUGCUAGAAAUAGCAGGUAAUACCGAAUACACUCGGCAUAUCACAAGAGGUGUUGAGGAAAGGAAGCUACGGCUUCGCUUGAGGAUGAGCUUGCGUCCCAUUAGCUAGUUGGUGCGGUAAAGGCCCACCAAGGCGACGAUGGGUAUCCGGCCUGCGAGGGUGACUAGACAGCGUGGGACUGCGACACGCACCAAACUACUAGGGAAGCCAGCCGCAAACAAUCUUCUGGAAUGAACCGAAGUCUUACGGAGCGGCGCGACAGGGAGGAAGAAGGCCGAAGAGUUGUAGAAUCCUUUUGUUGAUGAAGAAUACGGGUGUGAGGGAAUGCUCAUCUAAUGACAGUAAUCUAUGAAUAAGCCCCGGCUAAUUACGUG